UACUUGACAAUCAAAUUUCCAAGUGAAAGUCUUUCUUCCAGGCUUUUUUGCCUUCAAAACCUAAUGCUUAAAUGCUCAUUCUGAUAAGAGGCAGGUAUUCUUAUUCCACUUCCAAGUGGCCAGUGGAAAUAGAGUGCUCUUGGAAUGAGAUACUUUCCCAAAUGUUAUACUAUCUAUCAAAGGGAUUAAAAAAGAAAAAGUGCCCCUCUGCCCUUUUUGAGAUAGUAAUUGAUUUUUAAUUCUUAGGCCCAAAGAAAGUAUCCUUAACAUAAAGUUCAUAACCAAGACAUGGCUACAACUCUGCUUCUGGAAGUUUCUGAGUGUCCUCACUGGGUAUCAGCGUAGGAGUCAAUAGAAAUAAUUACUGCCGUAUAGUUGUAGGAAACACUCAGGUUAAAAACAAUAUCAGCCUCAAAGUGCAAGAUGAUAUAAUGGAGUGCCCUACAGCUGUAGCUCAUUGAAAAUUGGGAGGACAUGGAUUCAUUUACCCUUCGUAGGUGCUUUUGAAGAGCAAGCUUAUUUAGUUUUGGAGUAAACUUUUGCUUUGUAUAAAUAUGGAUGUCAUUGAUUUGCAAAUUCAGAAUUCUUAGCACCUAAGGAGAGUUGCUGAAGCUUUAAUCAGAGUUAUUCAUUAAAUUCCUAGCUCCUAAGUAACACAGAAGUUCUCCCACCUCCUCACUGCUAUUCGUUGAAAGAAGUGAUAGCAUCUGUGCCUGGAUUCUACCUCUGUCAGAUGAUUCAGUAGCUCAGUGAACUUGGGCAAGACUUUCUGUUUGCUUUCAGCCAUAGAUCUAGCUUUUAACCUGUGCCCCGACAUCAUGUCCUAAUGCUUAAGAGAUCAGACUCAGUGUGGUGAAUCUGACUAGGAACCAUGAGGUUGCGGCUUCGAUCUCUGGCCUCACUCAGUGGGUUAAGGAUCCCACGCUGCCAUGAGAUCAGACUCAAAAAUCAGACUCCUGGGUUUGAACCAUCUUUUUUUGUUUUGGGUCUUUUUAGGGCUGUGGUAUAUGGAGGUUCCCAGGCUAGGGGUCGAAUUGGAGCUGUAGCUUCCAGUCUACACCACAGCCACAGCAGUGCGGAUCCGAGCCAGUCUGUGACCUACUCCACAGCUCAUGGAAACACCGGAUCCUUAACCCACUGAGCAAGGCCAGGGAUUGAACCCUCGUCCUCAUGGAUACUAGUUGGGUUCAUUAACCACUGAGCCACUGACGGAAAGUCCUGAACCAUCAUUUUUAAGCAGUGGGAACUUGGGCAAGUUAUUUAAAUUCUCUGUGCUUCAGUUUCCACAUCCGAAAAUGGGAGCCUACUUCAUGGUUUUAUUGUGAGGAUUAAAAAUGAGAUAAUACAUUAAAGAACUUAAAACAGUGACAAUAAGUUUUUAGGUAUUUUUCACUUUCUCUUUUGCAAGAUAAUUAGUUGAACUCUGAUUUAGUUUCUUCUCAGGAAUGGGGACUAGUUUUCCUCAGAAGGAACGUAAUGGGAUAGUCACAAGUUACAUGUCUCGGAGGGUGCACUGUCACCACCCGUUGGGAACCCUCCAGGGUGUUUCCUACAGUUGUCAUUUCUUGGAACACUCUUUGAAAACACUGCACCUGAUAGUGCUGCUUAUAUAUUCUCUUCAUUGUUCAUCUCUCCUUGGAUUAAAAUACUUGCCCAUUAUCCACAUAUCGAAACUUAUUCCUGUGGUCCUAAUGCCUCUUUCCCCUUUCCUUUUAUUGCAGUGACUUCCUUAGUUGCAGCAUGGUUUAGCCACAGAUGUUGUAAGGACACAUGUGUAGCUUUUAAAGGGAAACCAGCUAUGAUGGGCACUGCUUGGGGCUUGUGUAACUGUUUGUUGUACUGUUCCUGAGCUAAUGGCAUUGCUUUUCUUAUCUCUCAGCGUAGCAGCGCUUGGUGUUCUUAAUCACCUCCUCUUUAGUCCCUUCUCCCUUGGCUCUUGGAUCCUGCAUCUAAGUACUUUCCAACAUUCUUUCAUAUUAUAACACAUGUAGACUUAUUUUUAUGGAAGAACCUGUGUAGAGUGCAAGUGCCCAGCCCUAGGUGCUGGCAGCUCCAAAGCUCAGGGGAGCAGUAUCUUGGUGCACCAGUUGGGAAGUGGCCCUAUCUCAUUGCUCCAGUUUGUACGGGCUGCAUAUCCCUUCAUUUGGUUUCUGGGUGUUUCUCAAGACUCAGUCCUUGACUCUCUGCUCUUCUCUCUAGCUCCCUUAGGGGGUGUGUUCCCUGGCAUGCUGCCACCUUCACCUCUUUGCUGACAGCUUUCAAAACUGCAGUGAGUCCUUUUCUCUGCUUGCAGUUCUCUGUCAUCGGCUGCCUACCGAACGUCUCCUGUCUUCUGUCUGUCUUAGACCCAACACGGAGGGACCCAUUACCUCUUCUUUCUCUACCCUGCACCAUACACCUAACUUCUUUCUUUCUCGGCCCUGGCUUUCUCAAAUUUGAAAUGUUGACAUAAUCUUUGAUUUAUUUCUCUCCUUCAUGCGCCACAUCAUUUACCUGCUAUGUGUCUGGCACAUAUAUUUACCUGCUGUGUAUUUUUGGGCAAGUUACUUAACUGGUCUUUGCCUCAUUUCUUUAUUAUUAUUAUUAAGAUAUAGUUGAUUUACACGAAGUGACCCAAUCACACACGUUUCCCUGUGCUGUGCACAAUAGAGCCCCAUUGCCCAUCCAUUCCAAAUAUACCAGUUUGUAUCCAAAAAACCCCCCAAAUGCCCAUCCAUCCUACUCCCCCCCGCCGGGGAACCCCAAGUCUGCUCUCCUUGGCUAUGAUCUGUUUCUGUUUUUUAAGAUAUAAUCAUCUCUUCCAUAUUUUAGAUUCCACAAAUAAAUGAUAUCCUAUGGUAUUUGUCUUUCUCUUUCUGACUUAGUAUGAGAAUCUCUAGUUCCACCCAUGCUGCAGAUAGCAUUAGUUUGUCUUUUUUUAUGGCUGAGUAAUUUUCCAUUGUAUGUAUGUAUGUACCACAUCUUCUUAAUCCAUUCAUCUGUUAUUGGCUAUUUAGGUUGUUUCCAUGUCUUGGCUGUUGUGAAUAGUGCUGUGAUGAACAUACGGGUGCAUGUAUCUUUUUCAGUGAAAGUUUUGUCUGAAUAUGUACCCAGCACUGGGAUUGCUGGAUCAUACAGGAGUUCUAUAUUUAGUUUUCUGAGGUGCCUUCAGACUGUUUUCCAUUGUGGUUGUACGAAUUUACAUUCCCACCAGCACAUUUGUUAUUUGUAGACUUCUUAAUGGUGGCCAUUCUGACUGGUGUGAGGUGGUAUCUCAUUGUAGUUUUGAUUUGCAUUUCUCUAAAAAUUAAUGGUGUUGAGCAUUUUUUUCAUAUGCCUGUCAGCCAUCCCCACCAGUCUUAUCUUUUACAGGCUACACAUCCCUACUUCUUCCACCCAUUCUUUAUGAUUCCAGGUUCAUGCCUAUCACCCUUGUAAGAAUAUUCUAGUUUUUGAAUUUUUUUUUAAACAUAGCAUGCUCAUUGUAGUCUGAUGAGCUGUGGAAUAGCAAGGUUGUUGCCUCUAGUUAGUAUGUUUUCCUUGACACCCUUGUUUCUCUUGCCUCUUGCAGCUGCCAUAGUAAUCAUUCAGGUUAAUUGCUUUGUUCACGCUUAGAAACUGUCACUGGUCCCUGUGUCCUUCCACAUUGGAUUGUAACCACUUUUACUUGAUUUUCAAGCUUUGGUGAUCUGGCCCCAUUUUCCUUUCCCACUGCCUGUCAGCAUAUAUCCUCUGUUUUAUAUUAUUUAUUUAUUUAGUCUUUUUAGAGCUGCACCCCCGGCAUACGGAGGUGCCCUCCUGGGGGUCUAAUCGGAGCUGUAGCCGCCGGCCUACGCCACAGCCAGAGCAACACCUGAUCCGAGCUGUGUCUGUGACCUACUCCACAGCUCAUGGCAACGUCGGAUCCUUAACCCACUGAGUGAGGCCAGGGAUUGAACCUGCAACCUCAUGGUUCUUAGUCGGAUUUGUUUCCGCUGCACUAGGAUGGGAACUCCUCCAUAAUCUUGCCUUCAUACCUUCCCGCAUGGUUUCCCCUUUAUCCUCCUUUUUGCCUUCCCAGCUACUCUUUUUUUUUUUUUUUUAAGAGAGUCUUUUCCCAUUAUAAACUUGUAAAAAUAUUUCCCCAUAUUAUCUUCUGGUAUUUCUAUGGUUGUGUACUUUACAUUUAGAUCUUUAAUCCAUAUGGAUUUCUUCGUUAUUAUAUAUGUUUUUUCUAAAUGUAUGGCCAAUUAUGACAGAACAAUUUGUUUUUUUAUUUUUAUUUUUUUGUCUUUUUGCCUUUUCUAGGGCCGCUUCCCACGGUAUAUGGAGGUUCCCAGGCUAGGGGUUGAAUCGAAGCUGUAGCCACCGGCCUACACCAGAGCCGCAGCAACGCGGGAUCCGAGCCAUGUCUGCAACCUACACCACAGCUCAUGGCAACGCCGGAUCCUUAACCCACUGACCAAGGGCAGGGAUCGAACCCGCAACCUCAUGGUUCCUAGUCGGAUUCGCUAACCAUUGCGCCACAACGGGAAUUCCAGAACAAUUUGUUGAAGUCAUUGUUUUACUCACUGAUUUUCGAGGUUAUUUUUUCAUCUAAUAUGCUUUUGUAUGUUUACAAAUCUAUUUUUCAACUGUCUCCCCUUGACCAUUGACCUGUUUGUCUAAUUCUGCACCAACCAUACUGCUUUAGUGACUACAACUUUGAAAUGAGUUUUGAUACCUGGGAAAACCCCAGCUACUCUUUUUUUUUUUUUGUAUUUUUAGGGCCAAAUCUGCAGCAUAUGUAGGUUCCCAGACUGGGGGUCAAAUCAAAGCUGUAGCUGCUGGCCUAUGCCACAGUAAUGCAGGAUCCGAGCCUUGUCUGCAACCUACACCACAGCUCAUGGCAGUGCUGGAUCAUUAAUUCACUGAGCAAGGCCAGGGAUCAAACCUGCAUCCUCUUGGUUCCUAGUCAGAUUCAUUUCUGCUGAGCCACAAGGGGAACUCCACCCCAGCUACUCUUAAUGGCCCAACUUCCAUCCUUCUCCACCUUCCUGAUGACUGUAAGCUUCUGAAACCUUCAUUUGUUGUGAUCCAUCUCCCAUUUAUUUAGGUUGUACAUGUCUUUAAUCAGUAUUUUAAAAAUUUUUUAAUUAAUAGUCUUGCCCCAUGUUUUUCUGGGUACUUUUUAGUUUUGUCUAGUAUUUUCUCUUCCACUUUUAUUGUAUUUAGUUUUACCUAGUAUUUCUAGGAACUUUUAGUUUUUUUGUUAGUGCGACAUCUUUUUAAUUUUUUUAAUUGUUUCUAAAUUUUUAUU
rnacentral:lncRNA from 1 species